GAUGAACGCUGGCGGUCUGCUUAACACAUGCAAGUCGAACGGAAGUAGCAAUACUUUAGUGGCGGACGGGUGAGUAACACGUAAGAAUCUGCCUCCAGGACGGGAAAAACAGUUGGAAACGACUGCUAAUUCCGGAUGAGCCGAAAGGUAAAAAGAAAUUCGCCUGGAGAUGAGCUUGCGGCUGAUUAGCUAGUUGGUAGGGUAAGAGCCUACCAAGGCGACGAUCAGUAGCUGGUCUGAGAGGAUGAGCAGCCACACUGGGACUGAGACACGGCCCAGACUCCUACGGGAGGCAGCAGUGGGGAAUUUUCCGCAAUGGGCGAAGGCCUGACGGAGCAAGACCGCGUGGGGGAGGAAGGUUCUUGGAUUGUCAACCCCUUUUCUCAGGGAAGAAGAUCUGACGGUACCUGAGGAAUCAGCAUCGGCUAACUCCGUGCCAGCCGCCGCUGUAAUAC
rnacentral:rRNA from 1 species